rnacentral:rRNA from 1 species
UACGGAGGGUGCAAGCGUUGUCCGGAUUUAUUGGGUUUAAAGGGUGCGUAGGCGGCUUUUUAAGUCAGUGGUGAAAGACAACAGCUCAACUGUUGCAGUGCCAUUGAUACUGAAGAGCUUGAGUACAGAUGAGGUAGGCGGAAUUUAUGGUGUAGCGGUGAAAUGCAUAGAUACCAUAAAGAACACCUAUUGCGAAGGCAGCUUACUAAGCUGUAACUGACGCUGAGGUGCGAAAGCGUGGGGAGCAAACAGG